rnacentral:rRNA from 1 species
CCUACGGGUGGCAGCAGUGGGGAAUAUUGCGCAAUGGGCGAAAGCCUGACGCAGCGACGUCGCGUGAGGGAUGAAGGUCUUCGGAUCGUAAACCCCUGUCAGCAGGGAAGAACGGUCACUGUGCUAAUCAGCAGUGAAUUGACGGUACCUGCAAAGGAAGCACCGGCUAACCCCGUGCCAGCAGCAGGGGUAAUACGGAGGGCGGGAGCGUUAAUCGGAAGUACUGGGCGUAAAGCGCUCGUAGGUGGUAUGUCAAGUCAAGGGUGAAAUCCCCGGGCUCAACGUGGGAACUGCCGUUGAAACUGGCAAACUGGAGUGUGUGAGAGGAUAGUGGAAUUCGAGGUGUAGGAGUGAAAUCCGUAGAUAUCUGGAGGAACAUCAGUGGCGAAGGCGACUAUCUGGCACAUAACUGACGCUGAGGAGCGAAAGCGUGGGUAGCAAACAGGAUUAGAUACCCCUGUAGUC